AGAGUGAACGCUGGCGGCAGGCCUAACACAUGCAAGUCGAACGGCAGCACAGGGGAGCUUGCUCCCUGGGUGGCGAGUGGCGGACGGGUGAGGAAAACGUCGGAAUCUGCCUAUUUGUGGGGGAUAACGUAGGGAAACUUACGCUAAUACCGCAUACGACCUACGGGUGAAAGCGGAGGACCUUCGGGCUUCGCGCAGAUAGAUGAGCCGACGUCGGAUUAGCUAGUUGGCGGGGUAAAGGCCCACCAAGGCGACGAUCCGUAGCUGGUCUGAGAGGAUGAUCAGCCACACUGGAACUGAGACACGGUCCAGACGUCCUACGGGAGGCAGCAGUGGGGAAUAUUGGACAAUGGGCGCAAGCCUGAUCCAGCCAUGCCGCGUGUGUGAAGAAGGCCUUCGGUGUAAAGCACUUUGUCCGGAAAGAAAGCAACGGUUAAUACCCGUGUGUCAGUCGAACGGUACCGAAGAAUAAGACACCGGCUAACUACGUCGACCAGCAGCCGACGGUAAUACG
rnacentral:rRNA from 1 species